ACUUAACUCAUGAAAUCAACUAGAAUAAAAAAUAAGUGAAUCAAAGAAUGCACAGCUAAAAGCAUAAUUUUGCCUAUAAAAUUAAGAUGUAUCUAGCAAUAUAUGCUGUUGUGUUCUGCCUUGUCAUGGAAGCUGUCCAGGGAGUGGUGCUGGAACAAAGAGAUUUCUCCAUGACAAAAGAAAGGGGUAAAAGCGUGUACAUCAGCUGCAAAGUGACCGGAUUAAACACAGAUUAUGUCCACUGGUACCAAAAGAAAGAUUCCGAUGAAGCUCUCACAAGGAUCAUAUAUGAAAAAAAAGAUAACCCUAACCCCUUAGAAAUUGGGGACCUUAAAGUGAGAAUACAGUCUGAUAAUUAUGAUCUAAGAAUCAAAAAACUGGAGGCAAGUCACUCAGGGGUUUAUUACUGCGCCAGCUGGGAAAGAGGGUCCACAGUGACAGUAAAUAUUCACAGUGUGUACAGAAACCCUGAUGCGAUACAACCACAACAAAACCUGUCCAGGUGUUCCUUACCUACAUCUACUGUCACCAAACAUUUAUAA